rnacentral:misc_RNA from 1 species
GAUGAAGAACGCAGCGAAAUGCGAUAAGUAAUGUGAAUUGCAGAUUUCAGUGAAUCAUCGAAUCUUUGAACGCACAUUGCGCCCGCCAGUAUUCUGGCGGGCAUGCCUGUUCGAGCGUCAUUUCAACCAUCAAGCCCCCGGCUUGUGUUGGGGACCUGCGGCUGCCGCAGGCCCUGAAAAGCAGUGGCGGGCUCGCUGUCACACCGAGCGUAGUAGCAUACAUCUCGCUCUGGGCGUGCUGCGGGUUCCGGCCGUUAAACCACCUUCAUCUCCCAAGGUUGACCUCGGAUCAGGUAGGAAUACCCGCUGAACUUAAGCAUAUCAAUAAGCGGAGGA